rnacentral:misc_RNA from 1 species
GAUGAAGAACGCAGCGAAAUGCGAUAAGUAAUGUGAAUUGCAGAAUUCAGUGAAUCAUCGAAUCUUUGAACGCAAAUUGCGCCCGCCAGUAUUCUGGCGGGCAUGCCUGUUCGAGCGUCAUUUCAACCAUCAAGCCCUGCUUGCGUUGGGGUCCUGCGGCUGCCCGCAGGCCCUGAAAACCAGUGGCGGGCUCGCUAGUCACACCGAGCGCAGUAAUACAUCUCGCUUUGGGCGUGCGGCGGGUUCUUGCCGUUAAACACCCCCUUUUUACCAAGGUUGACCUCGGAUCAGGUAGGAAUACCCGCUGAACUUAAGCAUAUCAAUAAGCGGAGGA